UUAUCAUAGUUGGUUAUUUUUGGAAGAUAAACCCAACCCCCCCUAUUGUCGGUCAAAAAUUGGUAAACCCAAAUUCCUUAAACCCCUCCUCUCUCUCCCGUGUCUUCUACUCCCAAAACCCCAACCCCAAAACCCAGUUCUCUCUCCUUGUGUUCUCGUCGGAACCCAAGCUCGUCGGAGCCUCGACUCGUCUCGCCGCCGCGAGCCAGCGACGUUACUAUUCUCAUUUUCUCUCUCUCCUCUAUUUUGUCGUUGUUGUUAUUGAUGCUCUUCGCCGCCUCCUUCGCCGGAGCUGCGUGUCUCCCUGCUCACAUCUUUCUCCUCUGUUCGUGUCCUGCUAUCGCGGCGCUGCUCGCGUGCCACCGCGGUGCUGUUGUUGUUGCUUGCGGUUGAUCGGUACUGCCGUUGUUGCUUGCGGUUGGUCGGUGCUGCUACUGUAAGCAUUUCUAAGUCUUUCCUUUCGUUGCUGCUGUUUGUUAUUUGUUGAUGUUGUGGUGGUGAUGUUGUGGUGGUUAUUGUUGAGUUGUUGUUGGUAGUUUUGUUCUUGAAUUGUUGAUGCUGUUGUUAUGUUGUUGGGGUAGUUAUUGUUGUUGUUGCUCUGUUGUUUGUUGUUGUUAUUGGGAUGUUGUUGUUGCGGUGGUGUUGUUAUUGCUGUUGCGGUGCUGUUGUUAUUAUUGUUGUUGUGGAGUUGUGUGGUGGUCGUGGUGAAGUGUUGCAUUAUUGUUGUUCUGUUAUUGUGGUGGUUUAUUAGUUUUAAGUGAUGGGUAAGUUUGUAGGUAAAUCUGAAAGUUAAGAUGAUGUCUUUUAGAAGUAGUUUUGUGUGGUUUCCUAUUCAAGGAUAUUAUAUAGUAGUCGUAUGGUUGUUGUUGUUGUAGUUAUUGGAGUCGUGUGUUGGAUGUUAAGUUUAAGAGUUAUAAAAUGGAUUUCAUUAGAUUUUAUUUCGGGAUUUAGUUUGAUCGGUGUAGUACGUUGUUUUAAGAAAGGUUGAUUAGAUUAGAUUAGUUUCUUUUAUUGAGAUUUUGUGAUAAUGGUUUUUGUAAUUAGUUAUAUUUGUUAUUGAGGUUAAGGAUUGUUAGGAGUUCAAGAGAGUUGGAGUUGUGGAAUUCUCAAAGUCUUUAUAUGUCGGAGCUACGGAAUGGAUCGCGUAUGAGGUUUGGUAUCAAGAGCUCGAGAAUUGAAGUGAAGCAAGAUUAUGAUGUCGUCCUAGAUUAAGGAUUGAGCUUGUAUCUAGUUAGUUGAUUGGAGAAUAGUUUAUGAUAUUUCGUUGUAUAAUAUUUGGGAAUUUUAGUUCAGUUAUUGGUGUAUUUAAGGAUAUUUUUCCGCUGCGAAGUAAUUUAUUUAAGAGUUAAUUCUUGUUUA